GGAAUUGUUCGCAAUGGGCGCAAGCCUGACGACGCAACGCCGCGUGGAGGAUGAAGGUCUUCGGAUUGUAAACUCCUGUUGCCAGGGACGAAAAGCUUCGACCUAACACGUCGAAGUCUGACGGUACCGGGCGAGGAAGCCCCGGCGACUUCUGUGCCAGCAGCCGCGGUAAUACAGAGGGGGCAAGCGUUGUUCGGAAUUACUGGGCGUAAAGGGCGCGUAGGCGGCCUGUUAAGUCGAACGUGAAAUCCCCGGGCUCAACCCGGGAACUGCGUCCGAGACUGAUAGGCUCGAAUCCGGGAGAGGGAUGUGGAAUUCCAGGUGUAGCGGUGAAAUGCGUAGAUAUCUGGAGGAACACCGGUGGCGAAGGCGACAUCCUGGACCGGUAUUGACGCUGAGGCGCGAAAGCCAGGGGAGCAAA
rnacentral:rRNA from 1 species